rnacentral:rRNA from 1 species
GAUCAUGCUCAGGAUGAACGCUAGCUACAGGCUUAACACAUGCAAGUCGAGGGGCAUCAGGGUGUAGCAAUACACCGCUGGCGACCGGCGCACGGGUGAGUAACACGUAUCCAACCUGCCCUUUACUCGGGGAUAGCCUUUCGAAAGAAAGAUUAAUACCUGAUGGUAUAACAUGACCUCCUGGUUUUGUUAUUAAAGAAUUUCGGUCAUCGAUGGGGAUGCGUUCCAUUAGGUUGUUGGCGGGGUAACGG